GCUUGAAGUGUUUGUCUGAUUAACGAGUGGCUGCUGGCCUUGUCUGCUCUGAAAGUUCUCUCUACAAUGUGAAGUAAACUGGGGCAAAUCAUUCUGACUGGCCCUGCUGAAUGGCAGGUGCCCUGGAUGAGGGUAGAAAAUAGUAGCCCCCUUUGAUUGUACAGCACUGCCUGGCUUACAGACUGCUUCCCUAUCUAGUAUCUCAUUGGAUCCUCAUAAAAGCCAUGUGAUGUCAACCAGGCAGAUGAUGGUCUCAGCAUCUUACAGAGGAGGAAACAGAGGACUCCACUUCAGUGACUGAGGCGUUGCUUUAGAGCGCAGAGCUGGGAGUAGCACCUAGGACUUGUGACUGUUUUAUUCAGUCAGAUUCCACUGGCCACAUCAGCACUAUUGUACUUAGUUGGAGUGAUCAGAACCUAGAUCUGCUUCCCUGUGUCACGUGUUCCCGACACUUGAUGGAAUUACUAAGUGGAUCUGAACUCUGAGAGGAGAGAGAACAGAUGGAUAUCCCUCACUCAUCACACUCGACACGUGGCCUUGAGGCCACAGUCAGCAUCACAGGUUUCUUUUAACACAGACUACAUGGGAUACACACAGGAGCAUGUGGCUGCCAAUGAAUAUGGGUCCUCUGGCCUGUCAGAUUAAACAGAAAACACUGAUGAUUGAUCAAUUCUCCAGUGCUCUUUCUGGCUGGACUGGGACCACACCUCAGAAACAAUGUUCUGGGAAGCUAGUACCAUCAGCCAUGGUGGCCUAACAGCAUGACGUCUGUUUGUUAUCCCUGCAAAGGGAGGGAAGGAAUGUCUAAAGCAGGAAAGCCUCAUUACCUGCAGGUAAUUUGUCUUGGAAAAAGCCCACUUAAGGUGAGUCACUUAAAAC
ensembl:lncRNA